UCUGGAACCCCCACAGAAUUAUUUUUAAGAGUUCUUUUAGGUUUACCCAAAGACGUGCAAUCUGCCAUGGUCAGGUUGGAAACUCGCAUGUUGAGCAUAGAGAGCCAAAUAGAUAAAAGAAUUCUCUGUUACUGGUUUAGAGUUCAACAGAUGGACAACACUAGGCUACCAAAAAAAUGCCUGAUUGAGCUCUCAAAUGGAUUACCCUUUAAAAACUGGGUACAUCAUGCUGCCCAACUGAUGGGCAAAUAUGACCUCUCAGUGACUAGUGACUGAGAUUAAAGAACUCCCCUUAUAUUCACAGAAAAAUAUUUUUAAACGAACCAUAAGGGCAGUGGCAACUAAAAACGAUCUAAACUCUAUGUGCACAUCUACAUGCGCCCCAUUGUAUUUUAAACUUAGAGAGGUCAAUGAACACAUAUCUUAUUUUAAUGAAUUGACUUUUGCACAGCUUCGAAAAGCUUUUACAGAGCUACGACUAAAUACAAUAAGCUCUGCUUAUAGAGAUGGGAGACAUAGAGGCAUACCAAAAAACUAACGUGUUUGCAUUAGAGGAUGUUCUGAAGUAGAGGACCUUAUGCAUUAUAUCUUGCACUGUCCGUUAUAUAAUGAUGCAAGAAAAAGAUUUUUGGUACCUAUAAUGACAGGGUCCCCUGGCCAGAACCCCCUUGAUAUGAUGUUAUAUCUCCUUGCAGACACAGAUAAGUAUGUGACCUGGCGGGUAGCACUUUUGCAACUGCUGAUAGGAAAAUUAGAGCAAAUUAUAUAGCCAAGGUAGCCAUUAACUGUAAAGGAGAUGAAUUUAUUUGAUCCUAUCUAUCUACCUCAGGCUAUGCUCUAUCUUUGUCACCAAACUCUGAGUAUAAAUUGCACACUGUAUUAAUUGAUAUUGUUUUUAACAUUAGUGACCAUGUGAUGAUUUUAGCUUAUGAAUUUUAUUGUUUAAUGUUUUUAUUUGUACAUUGGGGUACUUUUAUAGCUUUGUUUAGAGUAUGUAAUGUUUUAAUAAUAUAAAUGUUUUAAGUCUUUUUUUACCAAUUCAGUAUAUUUUCUUUUAAUUGUCAAAUAAUUCUGUGUACAUUGCGGCAGCCUUUGGCUAUGUGCAAUAAAACUGACUGAGACUGAAUACUUCAGAAUUAUGCAUAGCUCUGUAAUAUUUCCAGUCAACACAAAGCCCUGUGAACAUUGCUCCCACUGUGUGGGAACUGCUUGUCUGUGAGUGGCUCUGUGUAGCUGGUUAACAUAUAAGUGACCCAACUUGGUGGCUGUGAGCAUAGGAAAGACCCAUACAAUUAGUCUGCCCACCCAAAAGACUGGAUCGUUUUAACAUUGCUGUAGAAUUGCUACUGCUGCUUAUUGCUACUAAGGACUAUAAUAAUCCCAAAAUUUAAUUUUGUGGGAUAUUCACAUUUUGCAUUAAUGGUUACCCAGUUUAGAUCAUCCUGAAGUAAAAAAAUAACUACUGGUGUCUGUAACAUUCGAGCACUGUAAUGAUAUCAAAUCAGUCUGCAUCUACCAAAUGAAUCCAUCCGCAAAGUACAAUAUGUGCCUGUGCCCUAUAUUAAAGAGGAGAGAACCUGCAAUUUGUUUUACUUGAUGUAGAUUAAGUGUUGCUAAUAAAUGUACUAAAAAUUGCUAAAACAGCUUUCAGUUGAACAAGGACUAGGCAUCCUUGAAGUAAUGUAGUACGAGCAGUGAAUUUCUGCAUGAGAGGCAUACAAUUAUGGCACACAAGGCCAAUGUUCAUGAAUUAAUGAAGCUUGGGCAACUUGGUGGAAAACUGAAAUUUGAAUAGAAGUAUAAAAUAGAAGCGACCAUGUUUAGCAGAGCCAAUUAACUAGUCCAUAGAGAAAUUUGAUACAUUGAAUAGGAUUGGUUGCCUUUUAACACACUACAGUGAGGGUUGCUAGCUGCAUGUAUAACAAUUUUCUCUUUCAUCUAAAUUAGCUUUAAGCACCAUUAACCAACCAUGUUAUUUCUAGUUUCUUGGAAACUAAUAAACAAAAAUAAGAAGGAUUAGAAGGAACUACACUCAAUAUAAACCAAUAGCUAAAACUGUUUAUUUUAAAAAAAUACAAUAGUAACUCACCCUAAGAACAAUUUUACGCAGCUUGAAUUCAACAUAGUAAUUGCACUGCACGCUUUAUAGACUAGUAAAUUUCAUCAGAGUACAGCACAAAGUGGGUUCUGCCCAGCUGAAAUCAGUAGCAACAAGCACAACAUUUAUGCUGUUUUCUGUAACAGGUGUUUGACAUUUGGGCUCCCUAUCCUGCUAUUAAACAGCCUGCCAUGAGUAGAUGACCACAGUCAAUAGGUGGUGUUGGGGUACAGAUAAGAAUGUCAUUCCAGAUUUCUCUGAAUGUGAAAAAUAUGUAUGAUGCACCUCAACACAUAACUAGGAAAUGUGAUUAUUUCAGAGUUGGCAGGAGGGAUAAUCAUGGUUUCAGGUGUUACGUUCUCCUUCCAAGGAGAAAUGGCAGCUGUGCCAGUGAUACUGGGAAGAGCAAUCUGCAGAAUGUUGUGCUACAUCUUAAUAUCUUAAUGCAUUAGCCUACUAUGGUGAUACUCUUCCAUCUCCAGCAUUAAUAAUAAAUCUUGACCGUUAGACCCACCCACUCAGUCCGCCGAAGCCUGUCUUCACAUGCAAGGGAAGUCCCUAACUUACCGAGAGUUUGAGACCCAUUGGCUCCCCUCACCUGGUUUAGUCAGCCAGUCAAAGCCAUUUCCCAUGGUUUGCCGACCUUAGCAUGCUGACAGCUUCUAGGAGGCACAGGUGAGAGCUGAUGUUAAAGGUGAUUCCUAAUAACAACAAUAACAAUAAAAUAGAGUUGCAUCAAACUGAAACGCAAUAAGAGCCAAGAGACGAAAACAGAAAACUUUGCUUUACAAAAGUGAAGUUGACAAUACAACUCAUGAUAAAGGUCAUUCCUUCCCCCUGUAUUAUUGUCAUUUUCCAAGAAAGUAAAGCAUUGCUUCCAUGUUCCUCACAGUCAAAUAGUCUCUGGGCAUUUUCAGGAGCUGGAUAGGUCUUAAGGGACAGGAAAAGUUUUGUUUUUACUUCUAGAUUGUCAAAAGUUCCAGUUAACUGGUACAACUUAAUCUGGAAAAGUGUAUUACUGAUGUACAUGUAUAUCAAUUAUGUACACAAUUCUUUAAAAAAGAAAAUACAGUACAUUACAUUUGAAAACUUUGUUAGACGUUGAUAGCCUUAAGGCUGCAAUGCAUAGUUACCUGGUGAUGAAGCCCCAGUGACCACAGUGGGGUUUACAUCUGAGUAAACUUGAAUAUAAUUGCACUGCACAGUACAAAUGAAUGGCAAAUGUAAAGCCUGAUUCAAGGCUCUUUGAGGAAAACUGGUUAUAAAUCAGUCUUAAAAAACUAGAUGUAUAAGCCAUUAAUAUCAGCACAUUGUACAAUUUUGGGUGUUUUUACAUUUUUUAAAUAAUUUGAAUAUAUUUUAUGUUUUGUACAGUAUGAUUGCAUCUUGUGCACAAUAAAAUUGUGUGAUUUCAACCU
rnacentral:lncRNA from 1 species